CCGAUGUAGCUCAGUUGGCCAGAGCACGUGAUUUGUAAUCUCGGGGUCGGGGGUCCGAAUCCCUCCAUCGG
rnacentral:tRNA from 1 species